rnacentral:lncRNA from 1 species
AGGCUGACUCCGGAGCUAGAGAGGAGCACAUUCGAGCGAGAAGCUACGUGGGUGCAAACAACACUCCAGUUUCUGCCCGGGAGGAGCCGGAUCUAACAACUAGGAGUUCAAGCCCCUACCUACCGACCGACCUGUGGUCUCUGAAGUUGGACAAUGCUCCCCAACAGGUGCAAACAGAAUACCUGUUUGACCGGGCUUUGUCUCUAGGAAACUACAUACGAGGUGAUGGAAAUGCUAUUAAGAGUGAUGUGAAUUAACACAGAGACCUACAAUUGUAUCCAUUGCUAGGCUUUGCCUUCCUGCCCACUCAUGAACUCAGAGAUACUUGGAUGGCUCUAUAUGAAAGGCAAAGGAAAAGGAAGAGAAAGCAAGUCAAGACAGAGUUGGCACACACAUGCAACCGUUCCCUGGUGGUUCCCAUUGGAGAGAACCAAUGAUGGAAGGCCUUGGAGAAGCAGAACAGGCAGCUAUGUCCCUUAUGAAGAUGAGGAAGCCAGGGAGAAAUACAGAUAACACCUUAAAGGACAUGCUGAAUCUAGCACAAUGGAUUGGAAGGGUGAACCUCUACCAUCACUUACUGGAGAACGCAUUUGACCAAUGAGAUACUGAGCUAAUCACAAGCACUAGACAUUCCUGGAGAAGAAGGAGGGGAAGCUGCUUAGAAAAACCUGCUCAACCUAUUAUGGAGUCCUUGAAUUAUCGGAGGAUACUUCCACAGUUCCCCAGGUCCAGUGAAGUAGCGGGCAUGCAGCAUUGGCCACUCCAUUGUUGUGUUUGUCUGUCAGAAUGAUGACACCUCUCAAACCAACAAGAAAAUACAAACUUGCUUCAAUAGCAUCUUGCCUUUGUACAUUAGUAUCUUUGGACAAAAGCAAAGACAAUUAUUCAGUGAGCUGUAAAAAUGAAUAAAUAAAUACUUUGAAAAC